rnacentral:sRNA from 1 species
UUUAAUGCUGGUAAAUGACAAUCUCAGAGGCUGAGUCUCACACAGCACUGGGAGAAUCAGUACAGGCUUCCCCCACAUCGCCCUGUUUACACACCUCAAACCUGACUUAGAAGGAGCACCUCUGUGGGUGAAGGGGAAGUCCAUUCAGCAUGGGCCAUUAAGUCCUUGGGCUGGC